UACGUAGGGUGCGAGCGUUGUCCGGAAUUAUUGGGCGUAAAGAGCUCGUAGGCGGUCUGUCGCGUCGGUCGUGAAAACUUGGGGCUUAACCCUGAGCUUGCGGUCGAUACGGGCAUGACUGGAGUUCGGCAGGGGAGACUGGAAUUCCUGGUGUAGCGGUGAAAUGCGCAGAGUAUCAGGAGGAACACCGGUGGCGAAGGCGGAUCUCUGGGCCAUUACUGACGCUGAGGAGCGAAAGCGUGGGAGCGAACAGG
rnacentral:rRNA from 1 species